CCUAGGUUUAUCUUCAGCCUCCCAUUCGCCAGAUCUCUAUUCUCAGUCUCAACUCUGAACUUGCCCCCUCUCCUUCUCUCUGCAACUCCCCAAUCGCCUCCAUCUCUAUUCUCGUUCUCAACCUAUUGCACCACAGCCACCACAAUCACUCCACCCCAUAUCCUCACACCACCACUGAAGCCAACCCCUCUCUCUUUGUUCGAGCUCUCUACUAUGGGUUUUUUGGCGAGAUUUCUAGCCAAACCUCGGCCUCUCGCUCUCGAUCUCAUCUCUUCUCCAUCGGCUUCGUCUCUGGCCGACCCUCAGCCAAGGAGAUAACAUUCUCAUCUCGCCGCCAUCCACUGCUGCAAUUUUUGAUCAUCUUCUCUGGCAAAUCUCAGGCCGUCAUCUCAUUGUUCUCGGGUUGGUCUCUCUCUCGGAUUUUUCUCUUGAUUCCUUUGCUCCUCUCUCUAUCUUUCGGAAAGCUUCAAGUCAUUAGUCCUUAGUGUUUGAUGCCAUCUACACACCAAAAUGGACCAGACUCAUGCAAGAAGCACAAGAAUCAGGAGCCAGUGUGUUAUUGGGCUGAAGUUGUUCAUUUAUCAAGCAAUUUUACAUUGUGAAAGGUUCACUGGCCGGCUUUCCUAGUAAGAUGAAGCCAACAAGCUGUUUAAUCUGCAAGUUCUUAAUUUUGGUACUUCACAGGUCUUUGUUCUUUUACUUUCUUGUUAUGUAUCAUUGCUUCAUUUUUACUACUGCAGCACCAAAAGCACUGAUUGAGGAACUAUGGCAAGAAACACAUAAGGAGGAACUGUUUGGUUGAUCUCUUUUUGCAAUUCAGUUCAAUUUAUGAUUAUGCUAUUUAUAUGUUUUUCUGUUGUUGUUCAAUGAAUUUCUGCAUCAUUUAUGAAUAAACCUAAAGCACGGCAGCAGGAAAGAACCAACCACGAUAGCCUAUUAAUGCAUUUUUGCGACGCAUGUUUUAGUAAAGAUUGUAUUUCAGAUGAAGGUUCAUGUUUUACUCUUUAAUACAAAUUGUUCAGCAAACACCUCAGUGAAUGCUAUAGCUUUCCUCGCCAAGCCAGAAAGAGUUUUGAGUAUAUAAACAUCAUGCUACCUGCAGACACUGUGUGUGUGUGUGAGAGAGAGAGAGAGAUUUAGUGGGAUGAAUGGAUAAGGUUUUAGACAUUGGGCUAAGACUUGCAAGCCUGUAGGUACCACUGUGUGAGAAACUAUAACAGUUCCUUGUUGGACUCUAUUUCAUAGGAAUGUUAACGCAAAUCAAUCGGUUUUUAUAUCAUUACUCAAUUUCUUUUGGUGUUGCAUUUUACCGGAACAUGUUUGACAUCUAUAAAACAUUUUAGAAAACCCAGGUUAGAUUUCCAAAGUUGAAAUUAGAUGAACCCCAAGUUCUCCACUAGAACUUGCCUUGUUUGUCUAAUAUAACCUGAUAAGAGAUAUCAACUCAAAUCCUAAUGAAAAAAAAUGGAGUAGAGUAGAAAUGAGGUUUGCAAUUUUAGAGUGAAAAAUUUGCAAUUAUUUUAUGGUAAAUAUCUCUCCCUAAAUGUCUUAGAAGAUUAUUUAUUUAUUUUCUUAUAUUACUUUUAUUUAAAAAAAAUAAAAAUAUGUAUAUUCAAAACAAAUUAAUAUUAGACCUGUUAUCCUAUUAAUAAAAUAAAGAUAGCUUAUAUAAAAAUAAUAAUAUAACCUUGUAACCUUCUUAAUUUAUAACCUUGUAACCAAGUUCUUAAUUUAGCUAAAUCUGCAAGUUCUUAAUUUACUCUUUUAUAUAUAGCUUGAUGACGCAUAUGGUUUGGAUGAAUUCUGUGUCUUUUUCAAUAUCUUCAACUUCUGAUUAUUCCCUGCUUAUAGAAAUUGGCAUCUUCAACAGUUAAUAAUUUUUUUGUCGGUUUGUUGUUUCUGCGCCUGCUGGAGCAACUUGGAGCACAAGUUCUCUACACAAUCUUCGCUACCUUUUGCUUGAUAGCUGUGGUUUUUGUGAAGAGGAAUGUGAUGGAAACGAAAGGAAAAUCACUCCAAGAAAUUGAGAUUGCUCUUCUGCCCGUUGAUUAGAGGUGUACAUUGUAAGGGCGAACAGUUUUAAAAAAGAAGUGUUUUUAGAGAAGUUUGAAGAUGAAGUUGAAGCUAGAACAAAGAAAGUUUGAAGAUGGGGUCAUGGUUGUGUUUACUACUUUUGUGAAAAAUUCUUUUCAUUUUGUGUAUAGUUCUUUUGUAAAAACUUGGUGUUCAGUACAACAUUAUCUAUUAGUAGACAUGCAAUUUGGAUGUUAUUUUCAUAUUUGGCAGGUUAAUCGGUAGACAUUUGGAUGAUAAUUGUUUUUAUAAAUAAACAUGUAUUAUAAAUGGGUUUCUUUAGGAAAAGAAAAAAAAAAAACCAAAACCAAAACCACCACCAAAAAAAAAAAAAAAGGUAAUCACUAGCGCUCCUUAA